rnacentral:rRNA from 1 species
UGGGGAAUUUUGGACAAUGGGCGAAAGCCUGAUCCAGCAAUGCCGCGUGUGUGAAGAAGGCCUUCGGGUUGUAAAGCACUUUUGUCCGGAGAGAAAUCCUUGGCUCUAAUACAGUCGGGGGAUGACGGUACCGGAAGAAUAAGCACCGGCUAACUACGUGCCAGCAGCCGCGGUAAUACGUAGGGUGCAAGCGUUAAUCGGAAUUACUGGGCGUAAAGCGUGCGCAGGCGGUUUGCUAAGACCGAUGUGAAAUCCCCGGGCUCAACCUGGGAACUGCAUUGGUGACUGGCAGGCUAGAGUAUGGCAGAGGGGGGUAGAAUUCCACGUGUAGCAGUGAAAUGCGUAGAGAUGUGGAGGAAUACCGAUGGCGAAGGCAGCCCCCUGGGCCAAUACUGACGCUCAUGCACGAAAGCGUGGGGAGCAAACAGGAUUAGAUACCCUGGUAGUCCACGCCCUAAACGAUGUCAACUAGUUGUUGGGGAUUCAUUUCCUUAGUAACGUAGCUAACGCGUGAAGUUGACCGCCUGGGGAGUACGGUCGCAAG